CGGAAGUGCACAGAGUCUACGCUCUGACAAAGGCAAACUAUAACUUGUAAAUGUAAAAUGUAAUAUCUGUUGGUCUUCAGUCUUCACUUCAUGUUUGAUUACCAACUCAUUCCUGAGCCACUGCAAGUUAACCAAACAACUACAAGCAAAAACAAAAAAGGGGAUCAUGAGGUUUCAAUGUGCCUGUUUGCUCCUGGUCCUGCUCUCUCCUGCUGUGCUCUGUAAAACUGAUGACAAGCCCAAAACUAAACAUAUUGUUGUGAGAAAGGGCUCCUGUGAUCAAAUGAUGAAAAACAUCAAUGGCAGAAAUGAAUGCAAGGAGAAAAACACUUUCAUCAAAGAAGAGUAUUUGGAAUCAGUUCUGACUGUGUGUGUAAAAACAAACACAGGAUUCAUCCCCAGAGAGUAUGACGUUAUUAAAUGUAAACAAUCGAGCAAGAACCCUUGUUCAUACAAGUACACUGAAACCAAACUUAAGGUGAUAAAAUGUAACAAUGGAAAACCUGUACACCUUGAUGUGUGGAAGGAUUAAAGUUGAAAGUGAUGGUAUUCGUGCCUCUUUACUUGGCAGUAACAUUUAUCAGAAUGUUAAUUAUGUGGCUAUGUUCAGUUAAUUCUGGAAAUUAAAGGAUUUAUUUUGGAAGUGUAAGAAUUUGGGAAACAUUGAAUAUAGCAGAAUAAACUUUCUUCC